UACGUAGGGACCGAGCGUUGUCCGGAAUCAUUGGGCGUAAAGGGCGCGCAGGCGGCUAUCCAAGUCAGGCGUGAAAGCCCCGGGCUUAACCUGGGAGGUGCGUCUGGGACUGGGUGGCUAGAGAUCGGGAGAGGAGAGUGGAAUUCCCAGUGUAGAGGUGAAAUUCGUAGAUAUUGGGAAGAACACCGGUGGCGAAGGCGGGUCUCUGGGCCGAUACUGACGCUGAGGAGCGAAAGCGUGGGGAGCGAACAGG
rnacentral:rRNA from 1 species